rnacentral:rRNA from 1 species
AAACAUAACUCUGAGAAAUCACUCAAAGCACCGCCUGCUCCAUGAACUAAAUAGCCGCAGAUCAACUGUGCUAAGGUAGCAUAAUCAUUAGCCCCUUAAUUAUGGGAUAGUAUGAACGGCAUCACGAGCUACCCCCUGCCUCAGCUAAGAAUAAUAAACCUCACAUAAAAGUAAAAAGGCUUUUAUACCUUAACAAGACGACAAGACCCCGUCAAACUUUCACCACUCGUUAGACUGGGGCGGUCAAGAAACAAAACCUUACUCCUCCUCACAACCCUACCCGAAACAUACGACCAAGAAUCAAGUUACUGCGGGGAUAACAGCGCAAUACUUUUCUAGAGCCCAAAUCUAAAAAAGACCUUACGACCUCGAUGUUGAAUUAAGAUUCUUCCUGGCGCAAAAGCUAUGAAAGAGAGUCUGUUCG